UCUAAGCCCCAGAUCGAAGUAGAAAGCCGCGACAGUAAAAAAUCUAUUUUUUCUUGAAAAAAAAGAGCGCCCCUAGAAGCUCCUUUUUUUUCAUUAGAACAAAAGAUUUUUUGCAGAGCGCUUGAAACGGAUAGCUGGAAUAGGC
rnacentral:sRNA from 1 species